ensembl:lncRNA
UUUUAUUCAUUUAAUUUAUUUUUAUUUCAUUUUUAUUUAUGUAUUUGUUUUAUAUUUUAUUUAAAAUAAUUUCAUGCAAUUUUUAUCAUAUUUUAUGCAACUCUGUCAUCUAAAUUGUAUUUUUAUUUUUAAUAAUAAUUAUUAUUCAUUUACUUUUAUUCAUUUUGUUGAUUAUUUUUUAUUUAUUUGGGUUUAUUUUAUAUUUUUUAUUUAUGUUAUCUAUUUUAUUUGUGUGUUUUGAUCAUGGACAGCAUGUCCCAGAGGCACCUGAGAACACAGCGCCACCUAGUGUUACAUCAUGAUCUAUAGAAUUCAUGCAGUUUAAUUGCUUUAAAUUCUUUAGUGAAUAUAAAUGAAGCCUGAACAUCUGAUUUCUUUGAGAGUGCAGCCUCUACAAAAAUGACAAAUUGAUAAAUGAAGGAUAAAAGUCAGCUGUAGGCAUGUGAAGUCCUCUGACGCUGUUAUUCUGGAGAGUGAUGAGAUGCUGAGACCAUUCAAUCUACCCAGUCGUGUGUGUGUGUGUGUGUGUGUGUGUGUGUGUGUGACAGGAAACGGCAGAGUUUUGUCUGGUGUGUGUUCAGGGUAAAGCUGACGAGGAUCUGGAGUGUGAUGAGAACAUCACGAGCCGUGACGUCCACCUGCGCCGACAGGUAAAGCCCUUCAGAUGAUUCCUUGUUUCCGUGAGAGGAGCUCAGACACUCCAUGAUGCAGAUCAACAGAACUUUGAAUGCAAUGCAACUCAUUUUGGAUAAAAGCAUGAAUAUACUGUAAAUGCAACAUUUGUUAUUUUCUUUAAAAACAUGCUGUUUUCUCUGAAACCAAGAGCACGAGAUGAAGUCCGCAUUCAUGUCGUUGUUUCUUCACCUGUGUUUUGUAAAAGCCCAAAAGAAGAAAAAAGAAAUGUUGUUCUCUGUCCUGAUGGGCCGGAGGCUCAGGACGCCAGCUGCGCCGUCAUGUGAGUCUGGUCUCCACUUCAGACGCUCUUCUAACCGUUCGCUCGCUCUCGUCACAUCAGAUACAUGCUCAGAGCCCAAACUGGAUUUCUUUCUUUUUUUACAUGAAUUCUUUGCUGUUCUUUGUUCAAAUAAAGUUUAAAACUGUUAGGUUAUAAAUUAAAAUAAAUGCUUUUUGAAAAUCA